CCUACGGGUGGCAGCAGUGAGGAAUAUUGGUCAAUGGGCGCGAGCCUGAACCAGCCAAGUCGCGUGAGGGAGGACGGCCCUACGGGUUGUAAACCUCUUUUGCCGGGGAGCAACGGGCGUCACGUGUGGCGGCACUGAGAGUACCCGGAGAAAAAGCAUCGGCUAACUCUGGGCCAGCAGCAGCGGUAAUACGGAGGAUGCGAGCGUUAGCCGGAUGUAUUGGGUUUAAGGGGUGCGUAGGCGGAUCGUUAAGGCAGUGGUCAAAUUGAGGGGCUCAACCCCUUCCCGCCAUUGAAACGGGCGCUCUGGAGUGGAAGAGAAGUAUGCGGAUUGCGUGGUGUAGCGGUGAAAUGCAU
rnacentral:rRNA from 1 species